CUCAGUCCGCGCCCCGACACGCAAUCACACGCACACUUCUUGUUCAAAGAUGACGGAGUUUUCGUCGUUUCGCGCUCGGGUAUUUUCAAAUUAAUUCGUAAUUCCCGCUACCGCGUAUCUCAGAUCAGUUUCUGGAACUCUUCAUUAUCUUCGUUAUCUUCUUCGUUCACCUUCAAUGAUAUCCUACGUUCGAUACUAACACAACCGAACUCACAACACACUAACCAACUACGUCUUUCGAGAACAAGCAUUAUGAUCUCGUCCAGGGCUUCACGCCAACGUCCUAAGUCCUGAAUGCGAAAAAGGUUUAUUGCACUUUGUGCAAUAAAAAGCAAGUCGGGGAAAGCAUAUUCAAUGAAUAAAUUUAUCGAUCUAUCAAAUAAA